ACAGACCACCAUAACUGAUAUAUAAUAAUGACAAAGUUUGAAAUAUCGCGAGAUUUACCAAACCUUGACAGAGAUAUUUGCCUAAGUGCCGUGGGGAAAAUGGCGUCGUCAGACUUGCGCAACGCAGUGUUGCCGGCCUCCCAUUGGUUAAAAAUGCGGCAUCUGUGAGGCACAAUGAUAUGAGAUGAGGGCCCUCACCCAGUGCCAGGAGAUGUCUCUGGGCCAGCGUCACCCAGCCAGGAAGGGGCGAGUCAGAGUCUGCCCUCUCACUUCUCUUGGAUCCCAAACUCCUGGCUCUUUCCUGCCCAGCCAGCUCCCCUCCGGAAGGAAACUCUGCCCAGAAACAUGCCCGGUUGGCACUGCUCAGCCUGGGAGGCUUGGUCGGCCCAGAUCCUGUGAAUGCCUCCCACACUGCCCUUCCUCUGGGCCAUAAAGACCCCCUCCUCUCAGCCCUGCCUGACCCAGGCAGGUGAAACAGCGAGACCGCCCGAGGGCACUAUCCCCAUUUCACAGAUGAGAAAACUGAGGUUCCUGUCACAGGACUCAAAUCUUAUUCCAACCAGUAAGCCGCCUCUCUUACUCCUUGAUACACGGAUGCCUCUGGACAAAGCUGACUAUAGACGAGCCUUCCAGAACUGAUCUUGCAACCUGCCUCCUCCUUGGCUCACAGGACUUGGCCCUGGAGACAUCAAUAAGAGACUCAGUUCACUUCUGUCCAGAAGCCAGCAGGGCCUCCUUGCCCCCAGUUGUUUCAGCCACUGGGAGAGCAAGGACACCACAGUGAGCAGGGCAGACACCAUUCCUGUCCUCGUGGGGCUGACAGUCCAAUGGUGACGAUUACCGUGUGCCCUGGAUGGGCGACUCGGCCUUUUGGGCCUCCGUUCUCUGACGGUUGGUUUGGCUGCCAACCCCUACUGCAGCAGAAGUCCAGUGGGAAGAAAACCGGAAGCCCUCCAUCCAUGGCACAGACUUACAAAGUGGCUCCAGAGUCUGUGGUCUGAAACUCUACACCAUACACACUUGGUACAUAGCUUCUAGAAAACUCUAUCAGGGCUUUCUGGUGACUGGACCAUAAGUGGUUUUGAUUUUUUUUUUUUCUUUCCCUUUUGGCCCAUGUGUGUUUUGGGUUUUCUACACUAAGACCAUCCACUGCUUACAUACCUUACCAAAAAUAGAAAGUAAAAAGAAAUAUCAGUAUUUAAGCCAGUCAAUCGAUGUGCUAUUUCUGUGUACCUUCUGUUGUGAAUGAACCACCCCCAUAUCACUGCCAAAGUCACUUGUCCCCAGAUCUUGUGGCCACGGGGGUCCCUUCCCCAUGCUGUCAGCCAGGGUAUACAUCGCAGUCUGAGUUGCCU